rnacentral:rRNA from 1 species
UGAGGAAUAUUGGUCAAUGGGCGAGAGCCUGAACCAGCCAAAUCGCGUGAAGGACGACAGCCCUAUGGGUUUUAAACUUCUUUUGUAAGAGGGUAAAAAGGACUAUGUAUAGUCUGUUGCAAGUAUCUUACGAAUAAGCAUCGGCUAACUCCGUGCCAGCAGCCGCGGUAAUACGGAGGAUGCGAGCGUUAUCCGGAUUUAUUGGGUUUAAAGGGUGCGUAGGCGGGAGAUCAAGUCAGUGGUGAAAUGUAUCGGCUCAACCGAUAACGUGCCAUUGAAACUAAUCUUCUUGAGUGUAGAAGAGGUAAGCGGAAUGCGUGGUGUAGCGGUGAAAUGCAUAGAUAUCACGCAGAACUCCAAUUGCGAAGGCAGCUUACUGGGCUACAACUGACGCUGAUGCACGAAAGCGUGGGGAUCAAACA